GACUGACGAAUGAGUGGCUGUACGAAGAAGAGGUACUGGUGUGAACUGCCUGCUACAGACAGACGAAUAGAUUCUACUUUAUCGAGUGAGAAAUGUGCGCGUAAAUACGAGCAGUCCUUUGCACUGUUCAAAUUCGGAUUGUAUUCCGAAGAUCAAAACAGACAAAACACACUGUGAACGAUCCCAUGGACACCUCACUGCACCUAAAGAUAUAAUGUAUGUAACGAGAAGUAGUCAAGAGAGAGAGGACACGACUGCCAUUAAAACGAUACAUUCGUCGAGGGAUCAGUUCUCGCAGUCAACCCCCGACGCACGAGCACAACAUUGGCAUUUCUGGCGCAGCCGCAAAACGCUGUAAAACCGACAGCGAGGAGCUGAUGCAAAGCCCUACGAUGUUCAGCCUCGUGCAGGACGAGCUCGAUGACGAGUACAAGCUCAUCGUGAGUGAGUAUUCAACAUCCAUCGGCCAACCGAACGGCAAAAUGCUCGGCUGAGUCGUGGAGAUUUGACCACGAGCGCAACAACGAUGGCAAACUAAAGUAAGACGUCGUGAUUGUGCCGAUAAAUUUGGGUGCGUGACUUUUGUGAUUUGUGCCUCGAGUUUAUCGAAAGACAUGACGACGCGACACAUCGAUGCGACGCAUCAAUAAUGUUAUCUUGAAUUUUUUUUUUCGUCGGCUGUAAAGCGUCCGAACGAUGGUUAUUUACAGUGUAUAUCCAAUUUCUGUAUAGGAUCAAUAGCGUUGCAAAAUAGACCGUGAACAGGUUAAAUCGAAAUGUAUAUUUUCGUAAUAAAAAUAUUAGCGGAGUAUCAUAGCGUUGUUCCCAUUACUUAUGCGUAAUACAAUGAACGAGAUCUAUGUUUGUAAACAUAUACCUAUUGCCGUUUUUUUAUCUCUACGCGAAGAUCCGUCCAGAAUGAGGAGCUAGAUUCACAUAGUCGUAAAUAACAAUCGAAAAAAUAUCAAUGCAAUGACCCGUUUCUUUUUUUUUCGAAUCAGUGUUUAUAAAACAAUCGAGUUUGAGAUCAAGAGAUUCCGUAUUGUAAUCGUACUCUCACCUUAUUCAGAAUUGCAGCAAAGCAAAUUUUCAUUCAAUAUUGCCGUCCGCACGGGCUACAUUGACGUCAACUUAAGCUUGUGCAAUAACGUCAAACACUGCGAGAAUCGCUUAAAGCGCAAUAGGCAUCCUAUUUUCCGUUGCACAGGUUCGAGGCGCGACGUCGGUCGAGACUUAAUGGCGGAAUUCAGCCAGCGGUCUACUCGAAUUCAAACGAACAAUGUGCUGUCAGACGAGACGUUGAAAACGGCAUAUGGUAAUUGUCGAAGGUGUUCUGAAGAAGGAUUACGUAUUCAUCGAUGAAAUCAUCAACCUCAUAGCUUGCAUUAGAAACGAAUAAAGAAGAAAUAUCUAUGUGGAAAUGCUAGCCGAAUAAUAUCAAGCUGACACCGCAACCACGUGGAAUAAGUUCGUCAGCGAGGUCACUAAAUAGAAAGAGAGGAUGAAAGACAAAAUUCGACUAAGCGACCAGGCGUGGUUUUAUUUUCAUUUAUUUUUCUUUAAUUGUUGAUUUUACAAAAAUAAUUAUGUUCUAUUUUAUUAUAUAUUGAUUUAUGUGUAUGAUAUAUAACGAACAAAUUAUAAUUAAUUUAUAAAUCACACGAAUAAUGCGGUUACUCAUUUGUGAACUGCUUUAUACAAGAUCAAAUGAAUUUAGUUUUCAAUAAACGAAUGUUGUAUGUUCUAAACAAUAGAAAAAUUUGUACAAAUAAUUGAUUGAAAUAAAAUACACUGCCGAACUUUUUAUUAUAAUAUAUCAUCGACCACAGCUAUAACUAAAAACGCAUACAUUUAUAGGGUUCGAAAGUACUUUGAUUAGUGAAUAAGUGUAGAAUUUGGACUGUCAUAUGAGUCAGAGGGGAUUCGCUGCCAAAGUG